CUAUUUGAAGAUGUCUCCAGCCUUGCCCAAAUAGCACAGUCAGUGCAAGACACAGGAGGAGUGUACUUUGUGCCUGCCUUCAAUGGUCUACAGGCCCCAAUCAAUGAUGA